UGCAACUGGUAGAAAGUGCAGAGUGAUCAGCUAAUAGUCAUCUGUAGCCAUAAUGAGUUAUUGGCAGGCCUUCUAGGGUGGGCGUUGUUGGGGUUGUGUUGCAGAUUUCCUGUCUGUGCGCUUUAUGUCGGUUUGUUACUUCAUUUCGCACACAUCAUUUCAUCUGAUCUCUCUGAUCUCAACCAAUCACUGAGCAGCUGGCCUUUAAAGGUGACGCUCAUUUACGAUAGCACGUCAAUUCCUCGUCACUCUCUGAACUGCAGUUCUUCUAGUCAUGCCAGGCCCUGGUGUAACAUUGGUUAUCCUUUUAGGUAAGUGACAUUUUGUAUUCUAUUCUUGCUUGUGUGUCUCAAUUCAUUGCAAUGUUCAACGCUAGGUACCUUUUGGGCGUUUCAGGCGUUAUGCCAUUCUCUUUGAGAGCGUUUGAGACAGAAGUGGAUGUAAGAGUUUGGCCAGGAGACAAUGUCACUCUGUACUGUGACCAGGUUUGGACCGUAGGUUCAGAAAUCUACUGGCACAGAAUUAAUUGUUUUCAGCAUAGACACCCUUCCUUUAGAAAGACAGCUCUACAACUCAGUUGGAACAAAGACUCCCACCACAUGCCUAAGUGGAACUCCUCGAGCCAAUCCCACGACCUCCUCAUUCAGAACAUCACUGAAUCGGACCUGGGACUGUACUAAUGUUCAGUUGGCGUCAGACAACUGGUUGAUGCAACUCAGCUUUUGCGAAAUAUAAUCUACAAGCUGUCAUUUGAAGAUCUCCCACCCAGCCAGCCUCCCCCAGUCCCCCUCCCCCAGCUCCACUCCGUGCUGGGUGCUGUUGGCCAGUCUGUGUCCUCUGUGUGCAGUGGUCUCCAUAGUCACCUCCCUGAGCUGUGCUUACUGCCUCUGGUUCAACCCAGGUGAGGCCUGUCUGCAUACUGAGGUCACCUACAGACAACUGUGAACCCCAUCAGGACUUCUGCCCCGUUUUACAUUUUUGACAUUAGUGUUUGAUUAUGUGGGUCUCAUUGCAAAGGAGUGU